GGCUCAGGACGAACGCUGGCGGCGUGCCUAACACAUGCAAGUCGAGCGGAGACAUGCGACGGAACUGAAGUUUCGGAUGGAAGAGAAGAUGUAUGUUUAGCGGCGGACGGGUGAGUAACGCGUGAACAAUCUGUCCUUCACAGGGGGAUAACACAGCGAAAGUUGUACUAAUACCGCAUGAGACCACAGUGCCGCAUGGUACAGGGGUCAAAGGAGCAAUCCGGUGAAGGGUGAGUUCGCGUCCGAUUAGAUAGUUGGUGAGGUAACGGCCCACCAAGUCGACGAUCGGUAGCCGACCUGAGAGGGUGAUCGGCCACAUUGGGACUGAGACACGGCCCAAACUCCUACGGGAGGCAGCAGUGGGGAAUAUUGGGCAAUGGGGGGAAACCCUGACCCAGCAACGCCGCGUGAGGGAAGAAGGUUUUCGGAUCGUAAACCUCUGUCCUUGGUGAAGAGUGAGAGACGGUAGCCAAGGAGGAAGCCCCGGCUAACUACGUGCCAGCCGCCGC
rnacentral:rRNA from 1 species